ensembl:lncRNA
UCUUUUGCAGCAUUAAUUAAAUCUCCCAAAAGACUGUUUAGAAUACACAACUCAAGGUUGGUUACGCAGAACCUAUUCCAGAGGCUUCACAAGGAUUUGCACACUGUUCACAGCUAUACAUAUUUUCACCCUGACUGAGUACACUUUCGGGACUGAUGUUUCCAGCAACUUCGAGUUGGCCUAAGCACAAGCUCUCUGUACUAUUAUUUUCUCUCUCUAAUUAUGGGAGAUGGUUUAGCUGCUAAGCAAGUAUUGCUGUAAUUUUUCUUGUUAAUAUGUUGUUAGACUAGAAAUUCACUUGUGGCAACAGCUUUUAAGUGUGUCUUUUACAACAAGGAUGCCUGGCAGUGUGGUUACUGCUGACUUACCAUGAUGAAAGAACAGUAACUGAUGUUUUUACAAUCCAUUCUCAUGUACCAUACACAAACAUGCCAAUGUUGACAAGUGGUGAAAUUGUGUAAUUUCAAUUUUGACAUCAGUGAGGAUAAAAAAAUGAUUUAUCAUCUUAGUUCUUAGAGCUUAAAGCUGGAACUUCUGAAGUUGCUGAAAGCAGCUGAAGGUGUACCAGUUCAUGGGACCCGAUGAGAUGCAUCCACAGCUCCUGAGAGAACUGGAGAUGCGUGCAAAACCUUCCCUGAAGAUUUUUGAUAACUUCAGCAGCUUGUCACUGGGACUCAGCUCUCUCCUUUAAAAUAGUUCAUUUUAUAAAUGGCAAUUCAAUACAUUUUAUAAAAGGAAAUCAUUAUCAACUAGACAUGGGGAUAGCAGUGGAUUUUUUUUUUCCUACUGCACAUACUCAAUUGCUUCACGGAAUUUCAUUUCACAGUUGGAAACUUGACUCCUGACUAGAGCUGUAUGAUACUGCCAAUUUUUGCUUUGACUGUUCAAGUGUAAAAAUAGCUAACUUUGCAAGAAUACAGCAUGUUUAAUUCAGCUCAAGGGUGUCACGUUAUUGUAGAGCAAGUGGUCCUUGUCUUUGAAAAUAACCAGGCUGAAGUAAUGGAAAUGUGAAACAGGAAAAUGUCAUUUGCCUAAACCUACUCAGGUUGAAUCAAGGGUUAUUUAUUGCUUGUCUUCAUUAUAAAUUAAGAUUAUGAAUGGCUAAUUCUUAUUUAAAAUUACACAAAAAUGAACAGAUUGAUGGCCCAUUGUACUUAUUGUUUCCUACUGUUCUGGUAGCACACAGCACAGUGAAAUCCAGGUAAACGUGUUUCCUUAUGGUUCCUCAGAGCAGAGAGCAGGGCUGGGACAGCUGGGACAUGAAUUUCUGCAGGGGAUGAUACUUUUGUUUUGGAAGAACAAGCACAUGGCUGUGUACCUGUUGCUGAGUCUUGCUUGAAACUGCGUGUAGAACUUCUUUCAAAACAAUUUUUCAGAUAAAUAGGCAGCAUGGGUGGAUUUGUUCUUGAGGCUUCAGCUCUGUGAGUGAGAAUUCAGGGACAGGCUGUAGGAAUAUGGGGCAGAUACACAAAGUUUCUCUAAGAAACUGACUUCCCUCACAGCUUUUACUGACAUGCAUAAUGUCACGCAUCAACUUAACUUCUCAUACAAAAUUUUUGUCACCAAUCACACUUUCUCCUAGAUUAUGCCUAAAGUGUUAGAAUUGCACAUGUAGGAUGAGAGCACUGAAGUUUCUUG